ACGGGUGAGUAACGCGUGGGAACAUACCCUUUUCUACGGAAUAGCUCUGGGAAACUGGAAUUAAUACCGUAUACGCCCUACGGGGGAAAGAUUUAUCGGGGAAGGAUUGGCCCGCGUUGGAUUAGCUAGUUGGUGGGGUAAAGGCCUACCAAGGCGACGAUCCAUAGCUGGUCUGAGAGGAUGAUCAGCCACAUUGGGACUGAGACACGGCCCAAACUCCUACGGGAGGCAGCAGUGGGGAACAUUGGACAAUGGGCGCAAGCCUGAUCCAGCCAUGCCGCGUGAGUGAUGAAGGCCUUAGGGUUGUAAAGCUCUUUCACCGAUGAAGAUAAUGACGGUAGUCGGAGAAGAAGCCCCGGCUAACUUCGUGCCAGCAGCCGCGGUAAUACGAAGGGGGCUAGCGUUGUUCGGAAUUACUGGGCGUAAAGCGCACGUAGGCGGAUAUUUAAGUCAGGGGUGAAAUCCCAGAGCUCAACUCUGGAACUGCCUUUGAUACUGGGUAUCUUGAGUAUGGAAGAGGUAAGUGGAAUUGCGAGUGUAGAGGUGAAAUUCGUAGA
rnacentral:rRNA from 1 species